rnacentral:rRNA from 1 species
UACGAAGGGGGCUAGCGUUGUUCGGAAUUACUGGGCGUAAAGGGCGCGUAGGCGGCCGUUUAAGUUAGGUGUGAAAGUCCUGGGCUUAACCUGGGGACUGCACUUGAUACUGGAUGGCUUGAAUUCGGGAGAGGAUAGCGGAAUUCCCAGUGUAGAGGUGAAAUUCGUAGAUAUUGGGAAGAACACCGGUGGCGAAGGCGGCUAUCUGGACCGACAUUGACGCUGAGGCGCGAAAGCGUGGGGAGCAAACAGG